GAUGAAGAACGUAGCGAAAUGCGAUAAGUAAUGUGAAUUGCAGAAUUCCGUGAUCAUCGAAUCUUUGAACGCACAUUGCGCCCCCUGGCAUUCCGGGGGGCAUGCCUGUCCGAGCGUCAUUUCUGCCCUCCAGCCCGGCUGGGUGUUGGGCGCUGUCCCCCCGGGGACACGCCCCAAAGGCAGUGGCGGCGCCGCGUCGGGUCCUCGAGCGUAUGGGGCUUUGUCACCCGCUCGGGACGGACUCGUCGGCGCUGGUCUUCCUCCAGGCGACCCUUCGGGGCUCGUCUUCCUUCGGUUGACCUCGGAUCAGGUAGGGUUACCCGCUGAACUUAAGCAUAUCAAUAAGCGGAGGA
rnacentral:misc_RNA from 1 species